rnacentral:rRNA from 1 species
GACGUAGGGUGCGAGCGUUGUCCGGAUUUAUUGGGCGUAAAGAGCUCGUAGGCGGCUCGUCGCGUCGACCGUGAAAACCAGCAGCUUAACUGCUGGCUUGCGGUUGAUACGGGCGGGCUAGAGUUCGGUAGGGGAGACUGGAAUUCCUGGUGUAGCGGUGAAAUGCGCAGAUAUCAGGAGGAACACCGGUGGCGAAGGCGGCAUCCUGGACCAAUACUGACACUGAGGAGCGAAAGCCAGGGGAGCAAACGGG